GAUGCAGAGAUGCACCUGAAGCUGUGACCCCAAAGAGAAGCCCCGCUGGGAGAUUUGCAGGCCGGACCAGUCAAACCAUACAGGUCUGGGGCUUCAGGAGGAAGGGAGACCAGGGGUGCCACAGGGAACAUUCUAGAGAUGAAGAAACCAAGGCUCAGAGAGGUUAAGUGACUUGUUCGAGAUCACACAGCUGUCAAGACGCAGCAUCAGGACUCGAGUCGCACAUUAUGCUUUCCCAUAGGACUCUGCCUUCCCUGAUGCCCCUUGAUUCUCAGGGAAAUGAAUACUCCAGAAUUUAUUUAUUUGACAGAGAGAGACACAGCGAGAGAGGGAACACAAGCAGGGGG